AAACCCGUGAGGGAGGUCUGGAGGAAGCCCAACGCACCAACAGUAGGGCCUUCUAAGGCAAAUCGCGGGGCGAUGAACAAGAACUCAAUAUGAGGUGUGACAUAUUCGGGGCCAGCGGGCACGUGACUGCCAAGCCCUCCAUCUGCAACUGGGAUAUGUUUUAUAAAUUGAGCGUCUACGCGAUGAAAGUUAAGUGU
rnacentral:ncRNA from 2 species